GACGAGGGGUCCAAGCGUUGUUCGGAAUCAUUGGGCGUAAAGCGGGUGUAGGCGGCUCUAUAAGUCAGAAGUGAAAGCCCCGAGCUUAACUUGGGAAGUGCUUUUGAUACUGCAGAGCUUGAAUGUGGGAGAGGGUAGUGGAAUUCCAGGUGUAGUGGUGAAAUACGUAGAUAUCAGGAGGAACACCGGUGGCGAAGGCGCCACUCUGGGCCGAAACUGACGCUGAGGAGCGAAAGCGUGGGUAGCAAACAGG
rnacentral:rRNA from 1 species